rnacentral:rRNA from 1 species
AUGAAGUGGACAUCGAGGGGGGGGGGGUCUCCGUUUUUUGCCGACGAGCUCGCCACCCAGGCCAAUGCAAAUAAGAAGCGCCAAAGCAUUCAGACGAAGGCAUACACAAAGGAUGAGGACAAACUCCUUUGUGAAUGUUGGAGGGACAUUGGACAAGACCCCAAGAUCGACGCCGAGCAAAAGGCAUCAACCUUUUGGCUAAGAGUUCAUCGCCAAUUUCAUGAGCGCAAGAAGUUCGCGCCGUACAAGAUGGAGAGCAAGCGUGGGUGGGUGUCCCUCUCAAAGCAUCGAAGGGUCAUACAAUAA